AUCACUCGGUUCUGGUUUUUCGGUGCGGUGUGAUACGGAUGUAAUUUUAUAAUCGAAAUUGAGAGAACAAUCUUCCCCUGUUUGACAUUUGAAUGAAUCAUGUGAAAAUCUAUCAAUAUAAAAUACAAUGAAAUAACAGCAUAUUCUGCUAAAAAAUUAUCAGCUGUUUUGUUUGCCAUCUUAGGAUAGCAAUCCCGUUUUCUGUUUGGACACAGUCUGGUGGAAAAAGUAGCCCACGGGCUGAGCAAAAACACGCCCCCCCAGUGGAGCAAUGCGAACCAAUCAGAAGAAAGCAUUGGAAAGGGAAACAUCGGAAGCAGGAAGCACCUUCAUGGCUGGCGAAACGUUGUGGCGCCGGAGGAAGUAAAACAUCACAGCACCGAUUCGUACUUUCUCAACCGACCGCACCGACACCAACUGGCGCCACUUUCUGUUCCGACGGUUAGCACGUGGUUCAACUGUUUCGAUGCGCAAGCUCCCGUCAUGCGGUCUCACCUGGCUAGGUUGAAUUACCCAGACGGUCUCUGCCUUACCCGCUGAAAGUGUCCUCCGUUGGACAGAUGACAGAUUGUUGAGGUGAAAUAUUGAGCAGAUUCUCUUGUUCCGGCUACACAGGAUGGUUCAUUGUUUUCGUUUGAGCGCUGUGACAACGACGACGACGACGACGGGGAAACUCUGCUCGGAACCCGUUGAUAGUGGAUCGAAAGGUCGACCUUUCUAGAUCGAUUGUCAGCCGAUUGAAUUGUUUGUUGCCAGAAGAAGAACAGUGCGAUCUAGUUGGCCUUGACAGCAAAAGUGUUUACCUGCGAUGUUAGGAUGACAUUGAACGGCAACGCAGUAGUGUGUGCUUUGGAACAGUUGGUUAUUGAAGUAGAUUGUUGGUUCGCGGCACCAGAAGAAACAAAUCGUUCGCUCAACAACGAAGCAUCAAACCACUUCAACCAGGACCGGAUAAGAAGCUUGAACUGCUGUUCAAAGCAGGUGAUAUUUUUUAUUCAGUUGCGAACUUGAUUGCUUUAAUUGAGUCAAGAUCUUGUUUUAAUUAACAUGUUUAAUAAUGAAUGAAACAUCAUUCAAGGUGUUUUCUACUAGCUAACAAUCUUAUUUUCAGAUCGACAAAAUCCGCAAGGAUUCAAAGCUCCAUUGUUUACAUACCAGCCUUCAAAUCAAGAACAAACCAUUUCAUGUUCUUGUUGCCAGCAGAAAGCGGCAAACAAGGGGAGAUGGUUAUGCAAAAAAUAGAUUUUAAUACUAAUUUUUUAUUAUUCACGUCGGUUUGAUAACUAGAGAUUUAUCGAAUGCUAACGCUUCUUUCUUUCGACAGUGACGAGUACGAACAGCGAUGUACGUACUGUCCGACUGAAAGUGGCCCAACGGUUUGUCCACCGGAUUGCUUCUGCAAGCGACCGCCAGAUGACAGCUCGGAUCGGCUGUAAAACUUCUAGGCGGGGCGGCAAAACACAUGCAAAAUGCGGCUGAUGUCAUAAUUGGUGUAAAUUUCCAAACUUUCUUCUCUUCAAUCAGAUUUAGCGGCACAAGAUCAAUUUUGAUCAAGUUUGCACUACAGAACCGUCGAUCACACACACAUACACAUACGAUAAAUGGGCACAUUUAAAAAAUAUCUAUAGAAGCAGCAGCUGAAUCGCUAAUAAAACUAGUUUAACGUUGAAUGUUCGCUUUCAUAGCCGCAAUAUGUCAUUGUUUGGUAGGUAUAAAUAGUAAUUCAUGCAAUUAAAAGCAGUACGAAAUACAUUGUAUUCAAAAUAAUCAAAAUAAAUCAACAGAAAAGGACUAAAUUGUGUUUA